rnacentral:tRNA from 1 species
GAGAGAGGCUCGCCAGCAACGAAAACUGCUAAUUUACGUCCCCCCGGUUGAACCCCGGGGCUCACUCG